rnacentral:lncRNA from 1 species
GAUCAGACUGGCCUCGAACUCACAGAUAUUCUCCAGUCUCCACCUCCUGUGGUCUGGUAGGGCCUCCUGCAGCUAAGUCAAAGGUGUUAAUUAGUUAAUAGCUGGGCUCCUUUCUGGAAGUUGUAUGGGGUAAGGAGCUCCCUCUGCCUGUUUACAAAUUCAGGUACUCAUAGCUGUGGGACUGAGACCCUCAUUGUCUCCCCACUCGUGUGUGUGUGUGUGUGUGUGUGUGUGUGUGUGUGUGUGUGUGUGUGUGUGUGUCUGUGUGUGUGUGUGUGUGUGUGUGUGUCUGUGUGUGUCUGUGUGUCUGUGUGUGUCUGUGUCUGUGUGUGUCUGUGUGUGUCUGUGUCUGUGUGUCUGUGUGUGUGUGUGUCUGUGUCUGUGUGUGUCUGUGUGUGUGUCUGUGUCUGUGUGUGUCUCUGUGUAUGUGUCUGUGUGUGUGUGCAAGUGUUUGCAUACCACAGCAUGCAUAUGGCUGUCAGAGGACAAUUUGCAACCAGCCACCACCUGUUCUCUCCUUCCACUAUGUGAGUGCCAGAAAUCAAACUCAGUCAUUCAUCUUAGCAGCAAGCACCAUCAUUGAUGAGCCACCUUGCAAGGUCUCUCACUAGGACUUGGAGCUCACUGGUUAGGCUAGGCAGGCUGGCCAGCAAGCCCUAGGGAUCAUACUGCUUCUAUCUCCCUGGUGCUGGGAUUCCAGAGGCACGCUGCCAUACUCAGGUUUAUAUAGGUACAGAGGAUAGAACACAAGCCCUCAAGCUUGCACAGCAGCCUGAAAACAUUCAUAUGAACCACACAGUCCAGAAGAAGAAAAACAACAUAAGAAGUUAUGGAUUCUUGGAAUCUAUAUGGAUUCUAUGGUAGUUUGAGUACCUAAAAUAUAGACAGAUUCUCUGACACAGGAUUAGACAUAUCUCCAGGAUGGUUCCGAUCUCCAACAGCUAUGCAGCAAUUCUACCAGGUGGUUCACUUGUUUGGACAUUGAAUAAAUAUGUAUUGCUCUUAUAGCCCCUGUGCUAGGAUUUGGGAAUACAUCAGCUCACAGACUGCAGCCCUGACUUCUAGAAGACAUACUCUCCAGCAGCAGUCUGGACUUUUACGUCUGACUCCGAACAGCAUGUGCCUCUGUAGGGACCAUCACUCGGGACCAUUGCCAGCAGACAGCUUCGUAAAACUUCUCUUGCAGAACUCCCUCCGAGUCAGAUAGGCACCUCGUGGGAAAGCGUGUUGCUACACUUUCUAAUCACUUCUACAUUCUCAAGAUGUACAGUGCCCAAAAUCAACAGGACCAGCUCCAAAUGGAAACAGAUUGCUUGGCCUGAGACUGAAUGUUUAGCAGGAGACAGGCAGCCCUGCUGUGCUUUCAGAGGGGUCUGGGAGGGGAGAAGGGGCCCCUCGUGGGAAAGUUGUAGAAUAAGAAGGGGAUCUGCUACUGCUACGGCUUACUCUCUCUGCCUUCCAGAAAUUCAAAGUCGGACUCAGAUAUUAAAGUCUCUAAGAAAAGAGUCAAGAAAGGGGGCCUGGUGUUGGCCAUGGUUUUGCAUGCCUUUAAUCCCGGCAGUUGCAAGGCAGAGACAGGUAGAUCUCUGUGAGAUUGAUGCUUACUCAAUCAAUAAGGAAUUCCAGGACAGCCAGAGCUAUGUAGAAAGAAAGACUCUGUCUCAAAAAG